rnacentral:rRNA from 1 species
UUGAAAGGGAAACGAUUGAAGUCAGUCGUACCUGUGGGUAAUCAGCCUUUUGGGUGUGAUUUUGUGGAGUGUGAGGAGUUAAACGCCUUCAUGCCUGCAUAUUCGUGCACUUUGGGUGUAUUUACCCGUGUGGUAAGUUAACAUCAAUUUCGGUGGUCAUAAAAUGGCUGGAGGAAUGUAGCUUCGAUCUCGUAUUGAAGUGUUAUAGCCUUCGGUAGAUGUGAUAAUCGGGAUUGAGGAUUGCAACGGAUACCCUUCGGGGCUACCUGUCUGAUCUCUGAUCGUUGCUCUGGUGCCGAAAGCUUGCUUACGGUUAUCAAAGUCGAUGGUCAAUAGGUUAGAAUGGGUUAAAUUCGUUAAGGAUGUUGACGUA